UGCAGUCGAGCGAGACCCAACCGGUGGCAACACCGGGGAAGGCCGAGCGGCGAACGGGUGAGUAACACGUGAGCAACCUGCCCCGAAGACCGGGAUAACACCGGGAAACCGGUGCUAAUACCGGAUGUCCCCACCAGGCCGCAUGACCAGGUGAGGAAAUGCCUGCAUCUAAUAAGUGCAGCACGCUUCGGGAGGGGCUCGCGGGCUAUCAGCUUGUUGGUGGGGUAACGGCCCACCAAGGCGACGACGGCUAGCUGGUCUGAGAGGACGACCAGCCACACUGGGACUGAGACACGGCCCAGACUCCUACGGGAGGCAGCAGUGGGGAAUCUUGCGCAAUGGGCGAAAGCCUGACGCAGCAACGCCGCGUGGGGGAUGAAGGCCUUCGGGUCGUAAACCCCUUUCAGCAGGAACGAAAUUGACGGUACCUGCAGAAGAAGCCCCGGCCAACUACGUGCCAGCAGCCGCGGUAAUACGUANGGGGCGAGCGUUGUCCGGAUUCAUUGGGCGUAAAGAGCUCGUAGGCGGGCCUGAUAAGUCGGGUGUGAAAUCUCCAGGCUCAACCUGGAGAGGUCAUUCGAUACUGUCAUGGCUAGAGUCCGGUAGGGGACCACGGAAUUCCUGGUGUAGCG
rnacentral:rRNA from 1 species